GGCGGGCGCCGCGACCGCAGCGCGGAGUUCCGGGGCGCGAAAGGAACGGCCAAAGUGCGGACUCAGCGGUUUUAUUGACAGCGGCGCUGAGGGCUGAACUCACGGUCGCGUCUCUCGGAGCACGAGGAGCGCAGGAACACGAGUCACCAAAAUGAAUGACCUGACCACAUCUACCCCUUACUCCCAGUGAUAACAGGAAGUCAUUAUGGUGAUGAGACUCUGGGCUGCUCACACCUGCCUUGCACAGGGCUGGAGCAGAGCGGGAUGCGACACAGCGAUGCUCACCAGGACGUGACUCAGCCAGCCACAAACAAAGGAGGAAGC
rnacentral:lncRNA from 1 species